ACGCAAACACGUCGAUCAGGUCGACCAUGUUCGGACUGAAAUGUAUAGCCCAAGCAAGCAUUCUAUAACCAUCGAUAUCUUGUGGAGCAAAUGUCAGGGGGCGAAAGUCAGCAACUUGAAACUAAUUCUCAUUUGAAAUUCGUGCGUCACAUGCAUUUUUGAAUCAUGACGCUCUUAGAGACAAGAACCAAUCCAAAUUCAGCACGAAUUCGAGCUGUAUCACUGGCUAUAUAUCACUUCAUAUUUAUAGGUGUUCAUUGCUUACGCCGUCUACUCAGUGCCCGUCAAGCAGGCUGUCACCGCGUUAUUUUGUUCGAAACACUAAGUAAGGGAGAAAUGCAAUACCAACAAUUUGCAGUUAAAAUAAUUCUUUGCUCGAGUGUUCUAGCUGGAAUAUUUGUCUUCAUGGCAAAAGGGCAACUAGUCCCAAACGUUGAACUCCUUGAAAGAAAAGAAGCCGCCCCAGCUGGAAAAGACGGUCAGUUGUCUUCAACAGGGCAAGGACCUGCGGACUGUCUUGGCCCAGAUGGCAAGCCACAGAACGAUGGACGGAGUUGUUCCUUGUUGGUUUUUAUUGAAGAAAGAAAUGCCAAUAAUCCGAAGUGCUUGAGCGGCGUCUGCAAGAACGGCACCUGUACAGAAAUCAAGCAACACAAGUGCGCCAAUGAAUCAUGAAACCGCACUGAAAAAGUGCCAUAGUAAAGUAAUAAACCGCCUUUAAAUAAAAGUACAGUACAA